AAGUCGUAACAAGGUUAGGUGAACCUGCGGAAGGAUCAUUAACACGUAUCCAACGUUAAACCCCCCCGUGAAUAUUAAGCGUGCUCUUGCAGCCAGCCAGCAAUCUCCGGUAAAUCACGUCGAACGGUUUGAUUCGGAGAGUUCUGUCCUGGCGUGACGCGUCUCGCAAAGUUGCAAUCGAGCGCUAGGAUCAGUGGUCUGGUAAUUCACUGCCUUGAAUGUCAGUGUCAUUGAAGUGUGAUGGGGGAGAACCCUUAAGGAGCGCUGUAGGCACACACGGGCCGGCGUCCAGAUCACCGAGCGACAGCUCCCCUACAGCGUAGGCCCUCCUGUCGUGGUUGGGCGUCAAAACGAACAACUGUUAACAAUGGAUAUCUUGGUUCUC
rnacentral:misc_RNA from 1 species